rnacentral:lncRNA from 1 species
AAGCAGGGAAUUUGUUUUUGGGAGCUAAGGCAUGAUAUAAAAAAGAAACCUAAACAUUCUACAGCUAGAUACCCGGUGUAUUCCCAGAUAGAAAAUCACGCCAUACGACAACGAGUCGUCAGAUCUUCAUUCAACAAAUCCAAUUUUUGGACCUGAGACUCACGUAGGACAAUUUGGUUGUGACGCUCCUCCAACAUCUUUUGCUAUUCUUCUGUCGAUUUCAAAGAUAUCUCCA